GCUUCGCGUUGUGUUUUAAUGUAGUAAAAUUGCACCAAAAAGGGGUGACUAACUCUGGCGAACUGCACCGAAGUGGUGGCUAACUCUAGACUCAAGUAGUACUAAUUUUAGUUCCGGCGAGUAUUUGGAGGCCUGUGCAAGGCCGACUCCGACUGAAUAUCAAAUGAUAUCCUAAACUUAUCAGUAAUCAGGCUAACUUUAACAGAAAAGGUACUGAAGAAAAG
rnacentral:lncRNA from 1 species